rnacentral:rRNA from 1 species
GUGGGGAAUCUUGCGCAAUGGGCGAAAGCCUGACGCAGCCAUGCCGCGUGAAUGAUGAAGGUCUUAGGAUUGUAAAAUUCUUUCACCGGGGACGAUAAUGACGGUACCCGGAGAAGAAGCUCCGGCUAACUUCGUGCCAGCAGCCGCGGUAAUACGAAGGGGGCUAGCGUUGCUCGGAUUUACUGGGCGUAAAGGGCGCGUAGGCGGACAUUUAAGUCAGGGGUGAAAUCCCGGGGCUCAACCUCGGAACUGCCUUUGAUACUGGGUGUCUUGAGUAUGAGAGAGGUGUGUGGAACUCCGAGUGUAGAGGUGAAAUUCGUAGAUAUUCGGAAGAACACCAGUGGCGAAGGCGACACACUGGCUCAUUACUGACGCUGAGGCGCGAAAGCGUGGGGAGCAAACAGGAUUAGAUACCCCAGUAGUCC